rnacentral:siRNA from 1 species
AGCUACUUCAAUAGGUGUUGGUA